rnacentral:rRNA from 1 species
GUGCCAGCCGCCGCGGUAAAACGUAGGUGGCGAGCGUUAUCCGGAUUCACUGGGCGUAAAGCGAGUGCAGGUGGUUUUGUAAGUUGGAUGUGAAAUUUCCCGGCUUAACCGGGAAGGGUCAUUCAAUACUGCAGGACUUGAGGGCAAAAGAGGGGGGUGGAAUUGCCGGUGUAGUGGUGAAAUGCGUAGAUAUCGGCAGGAACACCUGUGGCGAAAGCGGCCCCCUGGUUUGCUCCUGACACUCAGACUCGAAAGCUAGGGUAGCGAACGGGAUUAGAUACCCUAGUAGUCC